rnacentral:tRNA from 1 species
GCCGAUGUAGCUCAGUUGGUAGAGCAACUGAUUCGUAAUCAGUAGGUCGGGGGUUCGACUCCCCCCAUCGGCU